AGUUCCUGCCAAGAGUGAAAGAGGUUGGAGUGGGGUGCGAGAGGGGGAUAUUGCGGCAGAGCGCCCCCUGGCACAACCUCCGCAUCUCCACAAUACGACACACCAGUCAAGGCGCACGUGACACAACAAUGGUUUCGGGGCCCCUCACGUAACGUAGCAGCAAGGCAUCACCAUGAGCCCAUUCCUGAAGGUGAUGCAACUGUUCCUGAUGAUGACAGCAACAGUGCUGGGGAUGUUGGUACUCCUGCUAGUGACACCUGACCUGGAGGAAACCAUGCUGAGGGUAGUUAGACACUACACUACCCCACGCUACAGAGUGCCCACACAAAACAAUAUCAUCACAGUAGAGCCACAGUUGGAUCCACAUGUACCAGGUAUAUCUAUGGGCAUAGAAGUUGAUAGGAACAGAAAGACGUUUGUUCCAUGGCCUUCCUCUGAAGAAUGCAGUCGCUAUCGCAUUCACUUUGCAAGACAGAAAUCACUACCCAUGACCGCUCUGGUCUCCUUCCCUGGAAGUGGUAAUACAUGGGUCCGCUAUCUUCUGGAAACAGCAUCUGGUGUAUUCACUGGAAGUGUUUACAUUGAUCGGAGGAUUAUAAGCAAAGGUUUCUAUGGGGAGGCUGUUCCUCCAGACUGUGGCUGCACAGCAGUACAGAAGACACAUGGGUUUGCACUGGAGGGUUCUGUUCCUGCAAGGUUGGCCCAGCGUACAGCAGAAGUAAAACUCUUCCGAGGUCGGGGAAUACUACUUCUGAGGAACCCAUAUGAGGCUCUUCUCUCCUAUCGAAACUUUUUGUAUGGAGGUCACACUGGUUUUGCUCCCCAUAGUCAAUUCAAAGGGCCAGAAUGGGAAAGGUUUGCUUCUCAGUUGGCUGUGGUGUGGAAGGAGUUAGCUGCUACAUGGAUCAACUAUACCAGAGGACACGAAGCAAUGGUUCUACACUUUGAGACACUUCGUCUUAAUCCACAUCAUGACCUUAGCAGACUGCUGGAUUAUUUAGGCAUUUCUGUGGAUGAACAGAGGAUUGGCUGUGUUCUGAAUCACAUAGAUGGUCCAUUUAGGAGACCACAAUCUUCACAGAAAUUACUUUUCAGUAGCAGGGACCCAUUCUCUGAGAAACUACACAGGAUUUUAGAUGCAGUAAUUCAUGACCUGGACAGUAUGCUGGAGAAGCGUGGGUGGGACCGGAUACCAAUCCAUCUGUACAAGUUCUACAAACAGAACUCAACAUAGCUCAGGAUCCCAUUGCCCAUAAAGUGCCUAGGAUGAGAUCCUGCCAUUACAGAAGUAGGCAACAGGAAGAGUUGCUGUGAAUUAUUGCUGUUAUAUUUAUAUUCCUUGAGAAACAUAACAUUGAGGAAAGGGUUGGAAAUGUCAGCAAUGGGAGUACUAAUUUGCACAAAAAAAAAAGACACAUUGAGAAAUCUUGACCAUCUUGACCAUACUGUAAGGAAUUAUUUUUUGAGUUCCAAAAAAAGACAACAUACUAUAAAGCAUAGAAAUUUUUAAAAUGUAUUUUUCUCAGAAUGUUAUUGAAUAUAAACAGAUUACAUCACAGCUGUGGGAAUUAUGUCAGAUAGUUAAGUUGACCUGAAAUAUGUUUGCCUGAACUGGUGGAUGAUUCUUGGUGGAGCAGUUAGAAGGGUGAGAAAGCUUAGUGUUGAUGAAAAUUGCAUGAAAUAUCCAUCUCUCAGGCAGGGUAUUUGUUAGUGACCAAGACGGCUGAGACCACAAACUUCAUGCCCUAAUGGCUAUGGCAACUAGGGUGAGCUAAAAUAUGUUGAAAUAAUAAUCUAUUUAAUGCCUAUCUGACAUUGCACACUAAUAUACCCAGUUCAAGAUUUCUCUGAUAAAAUGUUUAGUCCUAAACACCUGACUACAAUACGUACAACAUCACACUUUGUAUUAUUUUGCUUUUUUAUCAUAAAAUUUUAGUCAUGUGUCAAUUUAUAGCUGAAAUUUUAUUCAUAAACUUAAACGUUUUUACAAAAGUAAACAUCGGCCAUUCCAAAAUCAAGUACCUGAUAGAAGACUUCUAUGUUAAAUUCUGCUGUAUUUCCUGUUAUUCGGCAUUGCUCACAUCUGCACUCUCCAAAAGCAUGACAGAUCUUCACUAUUCAGACACUAAUAUUUUCUCAUCUUUAUGUUACUAUUCCAUUUUAAAGUGUCUUCUAGAAAAUAUAUCACUGAAAUAUAACAGGGACAAUAUGAAGAAAAUUAGUUUUAUUGUGUGGGAAAAUAACAUUGACAAUUUGGAUUUUAUAGCAGUACAAUACAGCAUGAACUUAUGUAACAAUAAUUUUCAGUUCCUUGGCUUUCAUCGCCUUCUGAGUUUCUCAUUAACAUUUGAAAUUCUUGUACUAUUCAGAUAUAUUCUGUGGUCAUAUUUUCAUUUUCUAAACUAUGUUUCUUUACCUGAUCAUCAACUUGGAGAGGCUCUCUGUCACAGUCUCAAAGUUUUGUUCAUAGAUUCAUCUCUGAAUAACUGAUGUCUUGAGGAUGUGUGGCAUCAUCUUGAGUGUCAGAAAGGAGAUGGACUCUUAGCUUUUAGGGUAUAGUUCUGAAAGUGCAGUGAUAUUUAUUGAGAUAAUCUUUCACCCUAGAAGUAGUAUGUGAUGAGUUUCCAGCAGAUUAGACUGUUCUGAAUGUGUUUAUUUACCUUAAAAGAGUUGAAUAUUGUCAGCUUUAUUUUAUGGAAAAAUAAGUUGUUCUUAUCAGUCAAUACAGUAAUUUACACUGUCACCUGCCUGCUUAAGUUGUUUGUGUUGUGACUGAUCAAAUCUUGUAAGAUAAGAGUUAGCAAACAAAAUUUAUAAAGCAAUAUUUUAUAAUAGAUAAUAAUAGGUACUACUAAUAAACAUGAGAAACUGAUACUAUUCGUGUAAGAUUUGACGCUUUCACGGCGGUGACUAUGAAGAAAGCAGUCUUAUGG